AUGGCUUUGAAAAACUCCGCCGUUUUCCUCCUCGGCCUUCUUCUCUCAUGCGUUGCCAUGAGCGGGGCAGCGAGAAUCCUAGAGGAUACCGUUCCGUCCAAGGAGGAGCACCAGCCCGAGGUGCCAUCACUUCCCAAGGUGGAGCUGCCACCGUUCCCAGAAGUGCACCUGCCACCCAAGCCUGAGCUGCCCAAGGUGGAGCUGCCGCCUGUCCCGGAGGUGCACAUGCCACCCAAGCCGGAGUUGCCCAAGAUGGAGCUGCCAGCGUUCCCAGAGGUGCACCUGCCACCCAAGCCGGAGAUGCCGAAGGUGGAGUUGCCGCCGAUGCCAGAGAUGCCCACUAUUCCCGGGAUCCACUUCUCGGAGCCGGAGGCCAAGCCAUGA
rnacentral:rRNA from 1 species